UGGGGAAUAUUGCACAAUGGGCGGAAGCCUGAUGCAGCGACGCCGCGUGAGGGAUGACGGCCUUCGGGUUGUAAACCUCUUUCAGUAGGGACGAAGCGUAAGUGACGGUACCUGCAGAAGAAGCACCGGCUAACUACGUGCCAGCAGCCGCGGUAAUACGUAGGGGGCUAGCGUUGUCCGGAAUCACUGGGCGUAAAGGGUUCGCAGGCGGAAAUGCAAGUCAGGUGUAAAAGGCAGUAGCUUAACUACUGUAAGCAUUUGAAACUGCAUAUCUUGAGAAGAGUAGAGGUAAGUGGAAUUUUUAGUGUAGCGGUGAAAUGCGUAGAUAUUAAAAAGAAUACCGGUGGCGAAGGCGACUUACUGGGCUCAUUCUGACGCUGAGGAACGAAAGCGUGGGUAGCAAACAGG
rnacentral:rRNA from 1 species